CGUCUUCAUUGAUUACGCUCUUCAGAGGGCCAAACUUGGAGGUACAUGGUUUGUUUUGCUUUAUUUGUGGCUCACUGUGAAUGUUACAUCUGCACACAUCCUGUGGUGGUUUUGCGUUUCCAUUACCCAGAAGUCUAAAACUUUCAUUUGUUUUAAUUUCUUUUUUCUUUUUCUGCUACACAAGCAAAAAGAGGCACCAGCCCCUAUUUGCUUUACAUAGUAAAUUUUAUGUUUAUAUAUAACUAGACCGUUUUUGCUGAUAUUUUAAAUCAUAAUUUUCGUAUAACUAUUUCACAUUUCUUAUUUGUUUUUAUCAAUUGGUGUUUACAUAUUUUCUCUCCCACUGUAUUGAUUUUUUAAUGCCAUGCAAACUUUUAUUUUAAGGCUACAUGUAACCAAACUUUCACCUACAUCUAUACUACACACACGCACAAUCGCUAACUUAGUAUGCAUACUACACAAUCUUAAUCCUAGGUUUAAUAAAAUAGCCAUCUUUAGAGUAUGAUGUUCAUUAAAUAUUUUGAGUUUGAAUACGUAUUUCCUCCAAAGGAAUUUUCUUCACUGGGUUCGAAGAAGUAGUCAGACACGGUUUACGUUUCUUCGUAAACACAGUCACUCUCCAAAUAAAGCAUUUCCUCUUUGUUACCCGCGAUGUGAUGCUCACAAAUCACCGUGUGAGGAUCGAUAGCGUUGACAUCAUCUGAGCCAAUCCAACGCCCUGUUCUGCUUCGCCCUUGUAUUAGACAGCCAAUCGCUGGACGUCAUUGCGCCAGAAGGGGUGGGUUGACAUCUAGUACAGGAAGCCAGGCUGAGGUGAGGUGGGGAGGAGAGAUCACAAAAUAGUUAGCUCGCUGCUAGCUGCCUCCUGGAGCCGAUUUGCCCGAAGUGCGAUGAGCCCAGGAGGCGAAAUUAGUGGGGUUUUUUGGUUUUGAUUGGCGCAACGAUGACCCUCUGACCCCAAGAAUGGACAUAAGUUAAUGAUGACGGGGGAGAAGAAGAAGAAGAAGCGGCUGAACCGCAGCAUUCUUCUUGCAAAGAAAAUUAUAAUAAAAGAUGGAGGAAGGCCUCAGGGAAUUGGGGAGCCCAGUGUUUACCAUGCCGUGGUGGUCAUCUUCCUGGAGUUUUUUGCAUGGGGUCUACUCACUGCCCCGAUGCUCACGGUAAGCCUCGAGUGUACGCAUGCACAUACACACUCUGUUAUGUAUACUGACAUAACUGUUUAUAGUCUAACACACCCACCUUUCCUCCUUUAAAACCCCAGCCAGCGAGUGGCAUUUCUCAGACCAUUGGUGUCUAUGAAUAAUUGAAUCUCCAAUCGAUUGAGCAAGACCCUGGGUGGCGUGGUUUUGGUUUUUGUGAAUGUGCAUUGGCAGAUGUUUUGCCAGCAGCCAAUGAACUGAAAAAUAUGAAAAGGCCACCAAAGUGUUGUAUUGUCUGAGCACUAGUUCUUUGUCUAAAAGGCUUAUCAGGGGGUCGCUGGUUGGUGCCGUCAGCCCGGAAAACCACACCAUACAAUCACCUCGCUGCACCACACAGCAGCGUGGGGUGGGGUGGUUCCAAGUAUUUGACUCACAGUUUGAACAGCGUCAUUUAGAGGAACUUCUCUCUAAAAUGUCUCAAUCAAGAAGUAUUUUGCACAAUUUCAUAUCUUUCUGAGACCAAUGAAGUACUUUAGUUUAUACCAGCAGGGAUUGUUCAUCAAGCCUGUAGACUCUUGGUGAAACAUAGGACUGCAACAACACCACGCCAACGGGGGAUUGUAUGUUAAUAGUUUUCAUUCUUCUCACCCUGCCUUUUCACAUUUCAGCCAAACUCGGCAUUUACUGAAUUCUUUCCUUUCUAGUUUCUCCUUGGGUUUUUUUUUUUUUUGUGCACAUUCCUUUUCCUUCUCGUGUAAAUGUCUGUGAGGAGAAACUGGUGUCUCAAACAAAUGAUGAGUAAACAUCUGUGAGCCACAUGAUGUAAAGCAGACAGGCUUACGCAAUGCGUGCUUCACAGCAGUCUCCUGUUUGAGGAGCUUGUUGUAUCUGUAACUGUUUAGCAUUAAUUACUGGUUGGUUGGAUGGGUGGGGUGGAUUGGGAGGGCUGUUGCCUUCACAAUCCCUGGACAGAGGCAGGAUUUGCAUUUUAGACUAAUCAGAGGACGCCUGAAGAUGAGAGCCACUGCUUCACUGCUCCCAGUGAGUGCACUGCUUCAUUAGUAUCCAGCAGCAACAGUCUUCACAGAGCAUUCAGAGUGUGUGUGUUGGGUAACUGACUCCCAGAGGAAAACAGGGGAUUCUUAGCUUUGCCAUCAGCUUUCCCUCAGUACCCCCAAACAAUAAUCAGAUCCUGUUGUUGUCCCAGUUGUGCUCAUCGUGUCCUAAACUGCUUGUUCCUGCGCCAGUGUCAAUGAACCAUAUCUGCCAUGGACUUUAAACCUGUGAACUUCAUCUAUCUGAACGCCUGUUUCUGUUCUGCACCCACUAAUAAUGAGCUGCUUGACUAUGGCAAAAAUCAGAAUUGCAUUUAAUUUGGUUAAUACUGAGAUCAUGUUUAUUUAACAGGGUUACUCUUGGACUUGCAGAAAAAAAUAGUGGAUUUUUCCUGCCAUCAAAAGACACGCUAGGUACAGUCCUUAACAAAUUUGUUAGAUCACCUGUCGUGAAUUAAAUGCCAGAGAGAAAUAAGUCAGAAACUUGUUUAAAACUGAAAAUGACUAAAUUAACUGAACUGAAGUCGUGUCUUUACACUCAGAUUUGAGCUAGAAAACCAGAUUUCUCUGAGAAUUUAGAAAUUAAUCAAACAGAUUUCAGGAAUGCAAGUCAAUGACUGUAAUUUGCCAUUUCUCUUUUUGUUGUUGUUGUU